UUCCAUUCCUGCCCUUCGCAAUAAUAUCCUAGGAGACAUUAUAACAAUCUUAUUAUAUAAGCCUAUACCUGUGACACUCUUCAUCCAAAUUAACCUUAUUUUUCUCUCCCUCUUAUUCUUUUACCUACAAAAGUUAUUCAUAAUCAUCAUAAAUCUUGAGACAUGGUUCUGUGGAGAAGCAAUUCUUUAUAAUCUUCAUGUUGUGCAUUGAUAAUUUCCUAUUUUUAUAAGUUUUCUCUGAUUUUUGAAACUAGGCAGUAUAUAUACCAGUUUUUCAAGAGUGAUUUGAAUCACAAAAUGGAUCAGUCCUGUCUCUUGAGACUGUAAAAAAGAGGGAAAUAGUUAUUUGCUGGUUGUUUCUCUGAAUUUAGAAAUCAGCAUGGGCAGGCCAUAGGACCUACCAUAAUAAAUGAAUGACUGCUGUUUCGUCUCUUAGCUAAAUAUCACCUGUUCCAGGUAGAACAAUAUGCUGUGCUUUCUUGUUUUCGAAACUGCUGGUUUUAACAGUUUGAAAACUUCUUUUAAUUUCUCUUUUUAUUGGUACACAAUGGAUGUUUUCUGUAACCUGCUUGGGGUUCUGAUGACUUAAUGGGACAUAGAAUAAAUAAACAUGCAGUUGCCAUUUGUAGCUCAAGUAUAACAAUAUUUCUAUAUUUUGUUUGGUUCUGAAGCUAACUUAAAGUUAGUCAAGUGCUUCCAUUAGGAAGCACUGGAAAAGUGGUUUUGCCAGUUUUCUCUGCGAGGCUCUGUUUUUCUUUCUUUCCAGUGACUGAAGUUUGCAUUCAAAGCACUUUAAACACCUGCUGCUUUCUCUUCAGUUGAGCAAGUAUUCUAGGCAUCUUCAAGGUUUUCUCCACAAAUUAUCCACUUUUAGGUGUGUUUUAUGGCUGCAGAGACUUUAAAUGGGUUCUAACUGAUGACCUGUACUCCUUUCCACCUCUCAAUCUUGGCCCACUGGGGAGAUUAGGAUGUGGUCAGCUGUGGGCUGCAGUGCGGCUUCUCAAACAUUUUUUCCUGGUAAACUCAAGGUCAUUUUUUUUUGUCCAAAUGGUUGUCCUCUUCUAAAUGCCAGUUGAUGCACAUCAUUUACUGUUAUCUGUGAUGUGUUUAUAGACCGAAUUGCACUUGCAGCUGUAUCCAUAAACUUCAGGUACCUUCUAAGUAUGGUGUGCCUGAGAAUUGCAGGUGUCCAACCAGUAUACAUUGCUAUCUUAUGAACAAGAUCAUCGUCAAUGGCGUCAGGUAUAGGUUGCAUGCACUCAGGAUUCUGCAGCUGUGACUUCAAGUUAUUGGCCAGAAACUCUGUUGCUGGCCACAAGUACUGAGUUAGCUCCGGUUUCUUGGGAAAUAAAGUUUCCUGCAGGUAUUCCAAAAAUAUCCUAAAUGAAAAAAGUCCCUCUGCAAGGAGUUCCAGGCAUCCUUCCUUUUCAAAUGUAGAGGGGGAGCAUUUACUUUCGCUAUGGAUCUCUGGGAUAAGCAAAUGUUCCUGAGGCAGAUGACUCCAAUCGGUAUCACAUGUGCCUCGCAGAUUACACAGCGUUUUAUACAACUUGGUAGUCUUUUUUAUUAGCCAGAUAGCCAAAGGCAAGGCUUCGGGAGUGGCACCUAACUCUUUCUCAAAAGGCAUGCUAGCAGUCUGAGCCUCAGCCAUGAUGAAAAGCAUGGCAGCAGUGGCAGUGCAAAGGAGAACAUUCAUUGUCUUCUCUUCCGGCUUUACUCUUCCCUUUAUCUCUCGCUUGUGUCUAAGGGUGCUGGCUGGAUGGAUGUAGCAAUUCCUUAUGAGGCAAGGAUUUCACCCUACGAGGGCACCUGACAAAAAUAGCAUGGAUAAAAAUACAACAGUGAAUGUAGAGCAGAACAGAAAUGACAACUAAAAGCAGGAGAAUAAAUAAGGUGUUUUCAUGUCUCUGGAGGGCAUAUGCAGCCACCAUGGCCAUUGUUGGAGCUACUACAGUGGUACCUCGGGUUAAGAACUUAAUUCAUUCUGGAGGUCCAUUCUUAACCUGAAACUGUUCUUAACCUGAGGUACCACUCCAGGUAAUGGGGCCUCCCUCUACCACCACACGAUUUCUGUUCUCAUCCUGAAGCAAAGUUCUUAACCCGAGGUCCUAUUUCUGGGUUAGCGGAGUCUGUAACCUGAAGCGUCUGUAACCUGAAGCAUCUGUAACCCGAGGUACCACUGUAUUAGAUAAAAUAAAGCAACUGCCUCAGGUAACAUAUUUGAGAGGGGCACUGUUUAGCUUGUCUCAGGCAGUACGAUGCCUUGGGCCACCUCUAAUCAUUUAUUGACUUAUUCACCAUGAGUAAGUCUAAUCUUUUUCUAAAUCCAUUCCUGUCCAUUGCUAUCAAAAUCUUUGGGGGGGGGGGGGGGCGGGGGGGGGGGGGGGGGGGGGGGGGGGGGGGGGGGGGGGGGGGGGGGGGGGGGGGGGGGGGGGGGGGGGGGGGGGGGGGUGGGGUGGUUACAAAGCAUGGAUCCACAUGGAUCCUCAGGAUUUUUGCACUGGGCUACCCCAAACUCACCAUCAAAUCACAUAUCUGUGGCCACAGCUUGAACCACAAAAAUCCACUGUUUCGUUCAGAAUAUUUUUUUUCUUGUUUUCCUCCUCUAAAAACUAGGUGCGUCUUAUGGAGUGAAAAAUACGGCAUAUUUCAAUUAUGUUCCAAACAACUUUGAUAUAUCUUGUAAUCCAUAAAUGACCGUAGAAAAAUGGCAGUUGUAAUCCAAAUAUUGUUAUUGUAAUACCAAAUGAGUGGCAGGGUCAAAUAUUGAGCAUUCCAGAUGCUGUGCCCUGGUCUUCAUCAAACGUCAGUAUGGAAAUUCCACCUUCCAAAUUAAACUCCAGCUGUUCCAGGCACUCUGCCUCCAUGACGUUACCCCCCAAGUUCGACAAAGUCUUCUCCUGCCAAGUUUCAGUUGCAAAUAUGAAGUUCCAGAGUCCUUUUAACUUGUUCCCAAUUUAAUUGCCAGAUCUCUUUCUAGUAAGGUUAAAGCUUACUGGGAAAUGAUAUACAAUGAAUUGAAAAGGAUGGCCUCUCUCUCCUUCAGGUGGGUUGGUACAUUGGCCAGUUUCUCUCUUCCUGGGAAGGACAGCCAAAUGGGGACACAUGGAUUAGUCAGUAUCCUGGCACCAGCAUGUGGUCACAAUGGCCAAUCUCCUUCAAGCAGGUGACAUCAGCAUAUGGUCACAGUGGCCAGUCCCUCUCCUUCGGGUGAGCAGCAUCAGCAUGAAGUCACAAAGGCUGGGGCCUUUUUCAAGCAAGCAGCAGCAACAUGAGGUCACAGUGGCCAGUUUCUGUCUUGGAGGCCAGUGGUAUCAUCAUGUGGGGAGUACAUUGGUCAACCUUCAUUGGAGCAGGUAUAGUGGACACAUUGCCCUGCUCAUCAAGGUAGGCAGAAGGAGGACUGUAUGGCUACUGUAAAUUUUAUAUCAUGCCAUGGUUUAAGAGAAAAUUACAUGAACAUAAUAUAUCGUUGGUAACCAACAGCGAGUAAACUGGCAAAAAUGUAUAAAUCUAAACCAAACAAGUGUUGGAAAUAUAAAGAGAAAGAAGGUUCUUUUUAUCAUAUGUGGUGGUCUUGUAUAAGGUUAAAGCUUACAGGGAAAUGAUAUAUAAUGCAUUGAAAAGGAUGUUUGAAAUAACCUUUGUAAAAAAACAAAACCCAGAAUCUUUUCUUUUGGGAAUUAUAGGGACAGAACUACCUAAAUUGUAUAGAAAUUUAUGUAUGCUACUAGAGCAGCAAAAUGCUACUUGCUCAAAAAUGGAAAUAAGCAGAAGUCCCAGUAAAGGAAGAAUGGAUACAAAAACUUAGGGAAUAUGCAGAAAUGGCGAAACUCACUGAAAGAAUAAGAAAUCAAGGUAACAAACUUUUUUAAAUAAAUGAAUGGAAAUGGUUUGUUGAAUAUUUACAGAUAUAUUGCAAACAGAUAAAAACACUGGCAGGGUUAUUGUAAUAACCUGCAGUUUCAUAAGAGUAUACAUUCAAAGUAGAUAAUUAAAUGAGCAAAUUAAAUGAAUUUGAAUAUGCAGAAGAUAUUGAAAAAUAAAUAUAAGGAACCGUAGAAAGAGGGGGAAGGAAGUCAAACUUUGAAAUGUUAACUUGAUUGUAAAACUAAUGAAAUGUAUAAACUUGAAAAGUAUAAAUAAAAACUUUUGUAAAAGAAAAAGAAAAAAGAAAGGCCUGCCUUUACAUCAGGGACUGGACAAGGACUGCCCACCUGAUGUCAGUGUUAGUUUCUGUUUGCGCCACUGUGCAGUUGCUUGGAGUCACAGGACUCUGUUUACAUUCUAGGGAUUCCAGAUUGUUGGAAGUCUCACGGAAGACAGGAAACGGAUGUGAUGUUUACUGGUUUCCUGUUCCUUUGUGUUUUCAGUUGCCCUCUACUCUCACAGAGAGUUGAUGUAUUUUCUUUUCUGUCUGCGUAAUUAGGAAUAAAACUCUUUAGCCAUGUAGCUCAUACUAUCUCGUCCUUCCGCAUGCUGCUGUAUACUCUGCGUAAUGGGGGAACAUGCUUGGAGCCUCAUCAAAGGCUCAGGUCAUUAAUCACGGCGGAGGACUCGACCGGAAGAGUCGCUUGGUCAAACACAAGUCUGACAGUCAGAGACUGGCUGGAUGAUAAGAAGUGUGGGGGGGCACUAUCCAAGAAGCCCUCAUGGAAAUCCCAGAGGAAAAAGUUUCAGAGCCUGGGGAUUGGUGUUGGGACAUUGAAGGCAGGUCAGAGGGUUAAGGGGAUGGGGAAGGAGUGGUUGGAUGGUGAAGAGGCAACCGACUUUAGUGAGCAAGAAGAGCCAGAAAGCAGUUCAGACUCAGCAGAUGAAGCAGAGGAGGAGGGGCCAGAGGCUACAGAAGUAUCCAAGGAGCUUGCCUUUCCUACUGUAGUAAGCUCCCUUCUUCCCCCCAUCUCCAAGGCCACGGAGAGCUAUGCGUGUAGCAGAAAAAGAGCACAGGUUCCUCUCCCCUGACGUGGUUUAAGGCUGCUUGGGAAACAUCCUGCUAAGGAGAAGGAGACUUAAGGGGAAAUAGGAGGCAGGGACUGCCAGUCCUGGCAACCUUUGCAUAGGGGCCCGUCCUGUUCUGAGGGGCUGCUGCCUUGCAUGCUGUUUUCUUGAAUAAUGAGUUAACUUUUCUGUGUCUUGAGUGCCGACCUGCAUCUGAAGCAGCCCUGACACCUAGCUCUCUUGUAACACAGCCUUUGCCAAGUUGCUGCCUUCCCUAUGUCAAUGGACUAGCGCUCCCAUCGGCUCUGGCCAGCGCGUGCUGGAGGGCACCAAGUUCUCGAAGGCUGCCCUAACAUGUUUUGACAAAGUGGGAGGCAAUGCUUAGCAAGAUUAAAACAAGGAGAGGAGAGCACUGACUGGCCAUUAAAGCAUUAGCACCAUCUCAUCAUUUACCUAAAGGGAUGCUCCAUUGACUCCAGAGGUGCUUACUUCCAAGUGAGCUGGUGCAGCACAGAGCCUUUGACACAGAACUGGAGAGGUGUCUGUCCCUGGUUAAAAAUCUCAGGCCUGCCAUGAACUCAUCCGGUGGCCUUAAGCAAGCACCCUCAGGCAGCCUCAGCCCUCCUUGUGAGGAUAAAUAAACUGAACAGCCUAACAUGGUUGUUGUAAGAAUUACUGUGGGGUCCUGUAUGUACCAGGGACGCGGGUGGUGCUGUGGGUUAAACCACAGAGCCUAGGACUUGCCGAUCAGAAGGUCGGCGGUUCGAAUCCCCGCGACGGGGUGAGCUCCCGUUGCUCGGUCCCUGCUCCUGCCAACCUAGCAGUACGAAAGCACGUCAAAGUGCAAGUAGAUAAAUAGGUACCACUCCGGCGGGAUGGUAAACGGCGUUUCCGUGCACUGCUCUGGUUCACCAGAAGCAGCUUAGUCAUGCUAGCCACAUGACCCGGAAGCUGUACACCAGCUCCCUCGGCCAAUAAAGCGAGAUGAGCGCCGCAACCCCAGAGUCGACUGGACCUAAUGGUCAGGGGUCCCUUUACCUUUACCUUUACCUGUAUGUACCAGACUUUUCCGUGUAUAAGGCAAGGGUUGUUUUACUCUAAAAGAAUGUUAAAAACCACCAACGAUAGAAGAAUGGCAGAUGAAGAUGUUGGAGUUUCUGGAGCUGGCUGACCUUACUGGAAGAAUCCGCGAACAGAAAGAGGGGGAAUACCAAGAAGACUGGAUGAAAUAUAAAGACUAUUUAGCUAAAUAUUGUAAUAUAAUAUAAUUGAGAAGGUUCUUGAAAGUACUAAAGAGGCCUAGGAUAACAAUAAGAAUGUGGUAUAGUAAUAUGGAUUUAAGACAAUAAGAAAAGAGUUGAAUAUAGUUAAUUGAAGGAACUAAUUACAGUGGUACCUCGGGCUACAUACGCUUCAGGUUACAUACGCUUCAGGUUACACACUCUGCUAACCCAGAAAUAGGGCGUCAGGUUAAGAACUUUGCUUCAGGAUAAGAACAGAAAUAGGGCUCCAGCGGGGCGGCAGCAGCAGGAGGCCCCAUUAGCUAAAGUGGUGCUUCAGGUUAAGAACAGUUUCAGGUUAAGUACGGACCUCCAGAACGAAUUAAGUACUUAACCCGAGGUACCACUGUAUUUAGAAAGAUGUUUGGGAGAACUGUUACAAGGUGAUAUAACGAAAUUCAAUUUGAGGAAGUCACUUAACAAUGGAAUUUAAAAUGAAUAUAAGAAGGAAUAUGUGUGUUUUUUUCUUUUUCUUUUUCUUUUUCAGUAUUGUAAUGUGCUUUGUUUUGUGUGUUUUAUAUGUUAUAAUUGUUAUAAAUGUGGAAAACUAAUAAAAAAAAUUGGGGCGAAAAGAAUGUUAAAAAUCGGGGUGGCGUCUUAUACACGGAUAGUGCAUAUGCGGGAUGGGCGAUUGGUUGCAGCUGCGAGCCGGGGGUUGUCAGCAGUGAUUGGGUGGGUGCUUGGUGGCUGUUGGAAGGGCUUCUUAGGAUUGGCUGCUGCUGCGUCAAUGGCUGCCGUGGAUUGGCUGCGGCUGCGAUUGUCAGCGUUGGGUGAGUAAUUUUCAGGGCUCUCCCCUUCAAAAAAAGCUGAACAACUUUGACAAUCCUCCCUCUAAAAAGCUCAACAACUCUGGGUCAUCUCCCCCCACUUUCUUAAAUUGGAGUCUCAGAAGUCUUAAAUAUGGGGACGUCUUAUAAACCAGAAAACACAGUAAAUCCCUUUGGCGUGUUAUGGGUGGCUGCCAACAGAGUCAUCUGAACAAGGACUUCUGCUUGUGCAACAGAGCCUCUCCCUCUCUUCUCCCUGCCCCCCACAUCAGUUUUGGAGGAUUGGGGAGGAGCACCCAAGAUUUGGGGCAGGGGCAGGAGAGAAGAGGGGCAGGCGGGAGAGGCUCCAUGUGUGAACAGGAUAGCUUUAUUGAAUUCAACCCUACAUAAAUGCCAACUAUUCUUAUUGAGUGAGUUGGGACACAGGAAGAAUUAUGUUAAAUACUGUAUUUUUCGCUCCAUAGGGCGCACCGGACCAUAGGGUGCACCUAGUUUUUUGGGGGGGAAUCAAGAAAAAAAAUCUCUCUCCCUGCCGAGAGAGGCUGCGUGGGGCUAAAGAAGCCAUAGCCGCGUGCAACCUCUCCCUGCCGGAGGGGCUGUGCGCGGCUAUCCCUGAAGCCUGGAGAGCGAGAGGGGUCGGUGCACACCAACGCCUCUCGCUCUCCAGGCUUCAGUGAAAGCAACGCGUAGCCUCCGGAGCGCGGAGGGAGCUCUCCCUCUGCGCUUCGGAGGCUUUGCGUUGCUAUCGCUGAAGCCAAGGAGCCUGCAUUCGCUCCAUAGAACGCACACACAUUUCCCCUCAAUUUUUGGAGGGGAAAAAGUGUGUCCUAUAGAGCGAAAAAUACGGUACUUUAUAAAGAGAAAAACCUUUAUUACACGUGAAGGAAAUCACAUUUGGAUUGGGCAAGCCCCUCCCCCACCUUGAGAUUGUGUUAUAGGAAAGAGUUGUCCUAAAUGUUUUCCUUAUUAAUUAAGGAUUGCAUUCAUAUGAUGACCAUAACAUUAUCCUGAGAAGGCAAGGGGGGGGGGGACAGGGGGAGAGAAAUCUCAUUUUCUUCUCAAGCGAUUCAAUUUCUGCUUAAUUUUCUUUUCUCUGCGUUUCUCCCCAAGUCCAAACAGUGUCAUAAAAUAUGGAAUGGAAAGCAAUAACCAGAUCAUUUACAUUAGUGAAACAGCUGCAUUUAAUUCUGCUUCCAUCUAAUACACUGCUAUAGAAAAAUCUCCUCCUAUAGACCAUCUCCCCCCCCCCACUGCAAUACAGCCUUUCCUCGCAUGCUCUUAAUUAUGGCCAUAAUUAAUUUUAAACGGGCAGUCUACCAUCAAUUCUACAUUAUUUGUAAUAUAUCCUCCAGCUGACAGACACACACACACACACAAAACCCCAGAAGAAACGGCCUCUCUCUGGGCUGUCUUUUUAAUGAAACUGGUAGAUUACUUAAGGAAUUGGCACUGAGACUCGUUUGUGCAAAAUUGCCUGGUCCGCUGUCAAAGCACAUUGUGUCUGCCCAUUGAUGGAUUGCAUCACUCAUAGCUUUUAUAGUUGUGGUAAAAGAGGUCAGGCUGCCCAGAUUGAUAAAUCUGAAUUUCUUGUAAUAUUUUAUACCUCUACUAGACAUAUGCAUAGAGCCAAAUUUAUACUUAAGGCUCUGUCCAAAACUUUCAUCUCCGUGGCCAGCUGGCUGGAACUGGAGUCCUUGGACAAACCUUGGGGGAGGAGAAAUACCCAGCAGAGUGAAAAGGAGAUAUAUAUAUAUGGGACGCGGGUGGCGCUGUGGGUUAAACCACAGAGCCUAGGACUUGCUGAUCAGAAGGUCAGCGGUUCGAAUCCCCGCGACAGGGUGAGCUCCCAUUGCUUGGUCCCUGCUCCUGCCAACCUAGCAGUUCGAAAGCACGUCAAAGUGCAAGUAGAUAAAUAGGUACCCCUCCGGCGGGAAGGUAAACGGCGUUUCCAUGCACUGCUCUGGUUCACCAGAAGCGGCUUAGUCAUGCUGGCCACAUGACCCGGAAGCUGUAUGCCGGCUCCCUCGGCCAAUAAAGCGAGAUGAGCACUGCAACCCCAGAGUCGGUCACGACUGGACCUAAUGGUCAGGGGUCUCUUUACCUACACACACACACACACACACACACACACACACACCAGAGAACUGGGCUUAGGUGUCAUCUUGGUUGAACUCCCAACUCCUAUCAGCCUCAGACAGCAUGGUCAGGAAUGACUGGAAGAUAUAGUACAGGAACAAUGGAAGGGCCAUGUGUUACUCAUCCAUGGUCGAAGGAUGACUUGGGUCUUGCAUUCCUGAUAGCCUCCCCGCUUCCCGCAUUAUGGCCCCUGUUAUGUACUGAGUUGAAUAGGACCCAAAAUGCAGCAGUCUGAUUGGUCCUAGAACAAUAGGAUCCUGAAUGCAGCAGUCUGAUUGGUCCGCAGGAGCCACCCAAUCCAACUCCAGAUGGAAGUGAAUCCGCAACCUGAUUGGCCUACAGGAGAAUCCCAGAAUUUAGCCAAUCACGUGGGGCCCAUUGUGUAAAUAAUGUAUAAAGCAGACAUUUCAGGGGAACUUCCAUUCCUCCCUACUAAAGAGCAUAACCAGAGACCUAAUUGCAAACAUGCGCUAGAUUAUGGAGAAAGCUAGAGAGUUCCAGAAAGACAUCAACUUCUGCUUCAUUGACUAUGCAAAAGCCUUUGACUGUGUCGACCACAGCAAACUAUGGCAAGUUCUUAAAGAAAUGGGAGUGCCUGAUCACCUCAUCUGUCUCCUGAGAAAUCUCUAUGUGGGACAAGAAGCUACAGUUAGAACUGGAUAUGGAACAACUAAUUGGUUCAAAAUUGGGAAAGGAGUAUGACAAGGCUGUAUAUUGUCUCCCUCCUUAUUUAACUUACAUGCAGAAUUCAUCAUGCGAAAGGCUGGGCUGGAUGAAUCCCAAGCCGGAAUUAAGAUUGCCGGAAGAAAUAUCAACAACCUCAGAUUUGCAGACGACACAACCUUGAUGGCAGAAAGUGAGGAGGAAUUAAAGAACCUUUUAAUGAGGGUGAAAGAGGAGAGCGCAAAAUAUGGUCUUGAAGCUCAACAUCAAAAAAACAAAGAUCAUGGCCACUGGGCCAAUCACCUCCUGGCAAAUAGAAGGGGAAGAAAUGGAGGCAGUGAGAGAUUUUACUUUCUUGGGCUCUAAGAUCACUGCAGAUGGUGACAGCAGUCACAAAAUUAAAAGACGCCUGCUCCUUGGGAGAAAGGCGAUGGCAAAACUAGACAGCAUCUUAAAAAACAGAGACAUCACCUUGCCAACAAAGGUCCGUAUAGUUAAAGCCAUGGUUUUCCCAGUAGUGAUGUAUGGAAGUGAGAGCUGGACCAUAAAGAAGGCUGAUCGCCGAAGAAUUGAUGCUUUUGAAUUAUGGUGCUGGAGGAGACUCUUGAGAGUCCCAUGGACUGCAAGAAGAUCAAACCUAUCCAUUCUUAAGGAAAUCAGCCCUGAGUGCUCACUGGAAGGACAGAUCAUGAAGCUGAGGCUCCAAGACUUUGGCCACCUCAUGAGAAGAGAAGACUCCCUGGAAAAGACCCUGAUGUUGGGAAAGAUGGAGGGCACAAGGAGAAGGGGACGACAGAGGUUGAGAUGGUUGGACAGUGUUCUCGAAGCUACCAGCAUGAGUUUGACCAAACUGCGGGAGGCAGUGGAAGACAGGAGGGCCUGGCGUGCUCUGGUCCAUGGGGUCACGAAGAGUCGGACACGACUAAACGACUAAACAACAACAAAGAGCAUAAAAUAAAGAGCAUGAAAUCCACACUCGACUCCAAGUAUAUUUCAGCCCCUUUGGCCAUUCCAACUGUGCACAACAAAUGUUUGACAUACCGUAUUUUAAAUUCAGUUCUCCAUGUUUUGCUGCUGUUUGGGAUUUGUUUUUUGUUUCUACAAAAUCCUCAUGAAAAUUCACCAGCAUUUUAGCGCAAAUUUCUAGCAAUAAGCACAUUUUCCCUCACAGUUUUGACGAAAGUAAACGUUUUGUGCAAGCCAUUUCCUCCAAUAGAAUGCAUUUUUGUAUAUUUUCACGCGUCUCUUUGGUUUUAUACACAUUUCCCUUGCUAUUUGCAUUUUUGUAGAUAUUGGUUGGUAGACUGCAUUGCAAAAUUUGGGUAAGUGCAAAUUUCGAAGGAUAGCUAUGUUUCAAUUCGCGUCUUAUUUCAGAAAAUGCAAAUUUUAUAGUUUCAGCUUUCAGUGUAUACUGCAUCAUUUUUUUCCUCCAUCCCAGCUGGAGAACUCUAAUCCAGAAGUAGAUAGUCUUCAAGUCUUCUACUUGAACCCCAAUGUCCACCAACCAGAGCAAGGUGCAAAAUUAUGGCUUGAGAAGCAGGAGCAGACAGACAAUGAUGACUCAAGGGAUCGGGUCUAAAUCUACACCUGAGUUAUUUCAGCAACCUAAUUUGGCAGUGGCAUCAGCUUUAGUUGUUGCUACUGACAACAAAUUAGGAGCCAGAAAUUAUUGCUGACCAGAUGAUGAUGAUGAAAAUUCGUAUACCUCCCGAUCCCCACAGGUCUCAGGGAUGUUCACAAGAUAAAAACACAAUAUAAAAACACAAAAUACAUAUGAUGUGUAUGAUCCUGUGAUUUACCAGUAGGUCCCAAUCUACUGUAUUUUUCGCACCAUAAGACACACUUUUUCCCUCCUAAAAAGUAAGGAGUAAUGUGUGUGCAUCUUAUGGAGCAAAUGCAGGGGGGAGGCAGGCAGGAAAAGCCCCCAAGAGCCGCACACAAGCUCUGCAGCCAGUCAGUCCCUUCUUCCUCCUCCUAGAAAAUCCCGCAGGAGCUGCACGCUCCUUAAAGGGUGAGUGGCUCCUGUGGGCUUUUGCGGGAGGUGGGGCUUCUGCCAUAGCCGCGCACCACCUCUGCUAUGGCAGAGGCCAAGACAGCAAGCGGGAUGGAUCCCGCUCGCAGUCAUGGCUUCCUUAGCUGCACGCAGCCUCUCCCGGCCGGAUGGAUCCCGCUCGCUGUCUUGGCUUCUUUGCUCUUUGAGGCUGGGGGGGACCCAGGCUUCCCCGGCAGCCCCAAGAAGCUCUGGGAGAAGCGGACAGGCUGCGCGCAGCCUGUCCGCUGCUCUUUGGGGCUGAGGGGGGGGAAUCAUAUUUUUUUCUUGAUUUACCCCUCUAAAAACUAGGUGCGCCUUAUGGUCCGGUGCGCCUUAUGGAGUGAAAAAUGCGGUAUCGUCCGGCUACCCCUGCUGCAAUCUACACUUCUUCCAUCUGUUCCUCGCCUCUUAGGCUGGGAUGCCCUUUUAAAUAUCCAGAAUGAUCUCAGCAUCCAAAAAACCCCCCAAAAAACAGUAAUCUAUCAAUUUAUCUUUUUAGGGGAUGGGUGGAAGCAAUUAGUCAGAGCCAAAGGUUAUUAAUUGGGGCCCUGCUCCAUUUUAUGGGGAAUUAAAAGACAGUGCAUUCAUUUUGACCCUGGGCACCAGAUCGAAGCAUCAAAAGAGGUUCCCGGGAAAUUUUCCCCAUGUAUUUAUUUUUUUAUUUAUUUCCACCAGCAGCGGCAAUAAUUUAAAACUGCAUGGGAGACGGGAAUGCGGCUGACAUUCAAAGGCAGCAGCUACGCUUUAGAAGCAGGUGAAACAAGUAGAUUUGAAAGAAGCGGACAUAAAGCAUAAAAGCGAAUCCUUGAUGUUCACGGACCUGAUAUCUGAGAGGGGUGAAGCAAGGGGGGGGGAAAGGAACUAAUGCCAGUCAUAAUUGAUUUGCAGGAUGGGGUAUGUCAAGGGUAGGGAAUGUCAUGCAGGAGCUGAAAUGAGGCAAGUGAAAUGAGCAAAGCCCUCUUCGCCUACUCUUGACAGCGGAGCGAAGAUGGAUGGCAUAUUCCGCUAUCAGGACAGCUGAAAGAAUUGCUUGUGAACACAUCUUGGGGUCCCCAUAUUGAUUGGCCUUGCUUCCACAGCCCAUGCUAAUUAAACAUUACUUUAACAGGAUGAGACUGACUCUGAUCAGAGCUGGAGGGGGAUGGACAGCAAAUGCUGUGCUGUGUACAUCUCUCUGUCCAGAAGAGGACUCGAGCUUUUGGUGUUUUUCCCUUUGAUACAGCUUUGCAAUCUUUCAAAUCGCAGGCCGGUUUGUUCAAUACCAAAUAUAUUAUAAGCCUGAGGAGCCAAGGUGAAUUUUUGGAGACCAUAUAAUUAACAUUACAGUGGUACCUCGGGUGACAUACGCUUCAGGUUACAUAUGCUUCAGGUUACAGACUCCGCUAACCCAGAAAUAGUGCUUCAGGUUAAGAACUUUGCUUCAGGAUGAGAACAGAAAUCGUGCUCUGGCGGCAUGGCGGCAGCGGGAGGCCCCAUUAGCUAAAGUGGUGCUUCAGGUUAAGAAAAGUUUCAGGUUAAGAAAGGACCUCCAGAAUGAAUUAAGUACUUAACCUGAGGUACCACUGUACUUGCAUAUAAUGUUGAUGAGCAUGAAGAAGAAGAAGAAGAGUUUGGAAUUGAUAUCCCACCUUUCACUCCCUUUAAGGAGUCUCAAAGCGGCUAACAUUCUCCUUCCCCUUCCUCCCCCACAACAAACACUCUGUUUUGAUAAUAUCUCUUGGAGUUUUAUGAAGAAGAACCUACAGGGGAUGGGGGUAGGCCAAGGUUUUGAAAAUGGUAUAAGUGCAAUUUAUUCAGAACAAAAGGCUAAACUAAUUGUAAAUAAUGUGGUGACGGAAGAAUUUAAGAUAGAAAAAGGGACAAGACAAAGCUGCCCAAUUUCCCCAUUGCUUUUCAUAUCGGUCCUGGAGGUUCUGCUGAACAUGAUUAGAAGGGACCGGUUGGUUAAAGGUAUACAGGUCAGAGCCAAACAGUACAAACUGAGAGCAUUUGCAGAUGACUUAGUGUUGACGUUACAGGAGCCAGAAUCUAGUACCAAAAGAAUUUUAGAACUGAUUCAAGAAUUUGGUCAAGUUGCAGGAUUUAAGUUGAAUAAGUUAAAGACCAAGGUCUUAGAGAAAAAUUUAACACCAAUGGAGAGAGAGAGGUUUCAGAAUGAGACAGGUUUAACAGUGGUUAAGAAAGUUAAAUAUUUGGGGAUUAACAUGACAGCAAAAAAAUGGGAAUUUAUUUAAAGACAACUAUGAAAAAUGCUGGGCUGAAGUGAAAAAAGAUUUGGAAAUUUGGUCAAAUUUGAAGCUUUCACUGCUGGGCCGUAUUGCUGCGAUAAAAAUGAAUAUAUUGCCUAGAAUGUUGUUUUUGUUUCAAACACUGCAAAUUGUGGACAAAAUGGACUGUUUCAAGAGGUGGCAGAGAGAUAUUUCUAAAUUUGUCUGGCAGGGCAAGAAGCCUAGAAUAAAAUUUAAAAUAUUAACAGAUGCAAAGGAAAGAGGUGGAUUUGCCCUGCCAGACUUUAAACUUUACUAUGAAUCAGCAGCUUUCUGCUGGUUGAAAGAAUGGUUGCUUCUUGAAAACACUGACAUUUUGGAUUUAGAAGGUUUUAACAAUGUAUUUGGAUGGCAUGCAUAUCUGUGGUAUGAUAAGGUCAAAGCACACAAAGCAUUUAAAAAUCACAUCGUCAGGAAAGCAUUGUUUAAUGUCUGGAUAAGAUACAAGGACUUAUUGGAAAAUAAAACCCCAAGGUGGUUGUCACCAAUGGAAGCAAAAGCUUUGAAAAAGCUCAAUAUGGAGGCCAAAUGGCCGAAAUAUUGGGAAAUUUUGGAACAAGACGGAGAUAGACUGAAAUUGCAGAGUUUUGAGAAAUUAAAAAACAAAGUGCGAGACUGGCUUCAUUAUUAUCAGAUAAUGGAGGCAUAUAAUUUGGACAAGAAAAUUGGCUUCCAGGUGGAAAAAUCAAAAUUAGAAACAGAACUGUUAGAACCCAAAACUAAGAUUUUGUCAAAGAUGUAUAACUUGCUGUUGAAAUGGAAUACUCAGGAUGAAACGGUGAAAUCUGCUAUGAUUAAAUGGGCACAAGAUGUUGGACAUAACAUAAUGAUGGCUGACUGGGAACAGUUAUGGACCACAGGUAUGAAGUUUACGGCAUGUAAUGCCUUAAGAGAGAAUAUUAUGAAAAUGAUAUACAGGUGGUACAUGACCCCAGUCAAGCUUGCAAAAAUCUAUCAUUUGCCCGAUAAUAAAUGUUGGAAAUGUAAAGAAACUGAAGGUACAUUCUUUCACCUUUGGUGGACAUGCCCAAGGAUUAAGGCUUUCUGGGAAAUGAUAUAUAAUGAAUUGAAAAAGAUAUUUAAAUAUACCUUAUUGAAGAAACCAGAGGCCUUUCUCCUAGGCAUAGUUGGCCAAUUGGUGCCAAAGAAGGAUAGAACCUUUUUUAUGUAUGCCACAACAGCAGCAAGAAUACUCAUUGCAAAGUACUGGAAGACACAAGAUUUACCCACUCUGGAAGAAUGGCAGAUGAAGCUGAUGGACUAUAUGGAACUGGCAGAAAUGACUGGCAGAAUCCGAGACCAGGGAGAAGAGUCGGUGGAAGAAGAUUGGAAGAAGUUCAAAGAUUAUCUACAGAAAUACUGUAAAAUUAAUGAAUGUUAGAACGAUGUUGGAUAGAAAUUAAGUGGUUUCUAACUGUAAUGCUUCAAGGGAAUAUGAAAAAGGGGUUAUUAAGAGGUAAAAAUCUAACGUUAUUAUUUUAAGACCAAAGAUUAGGAUAAACAAAGAGGGUAAGGAUUUGCUGAACCAACAAACUGAACUGGAAUACAAAAAAGGGAGGUAUGAGGAGGUCCGGGAAACAAGCUAAAGAAAAAUAAGCAAUGGAAAAUCUGAGUGUUUUUAAUCAUUUUUAUUUUGUAUUUUUUUUCUUUUUCAUUUUUUAUUGUAAUAUUUAAAAAAAUCCUAAUAAAUAUCUUAUAAAAAAACAACAACAAACACUCUGUGAGGUGAGUGGGGCUGAGAGACUUCAAAGAAGUGUGACUGGCCCAAGGUCACCCAGCAGCUGCAUGUGGAGGAGCGGAGAAUCGAACCCGGUUCCCCAGAUUACGAGUCUACCGCUCUUAACCACUACACCACACUGGCUCUCAUGGAGGAUGACCACUUAGAGUUGUUGAGUAUGUUGUACGUAUUCAUUCUAGCAGUCUGAAUUUGUGAAUCUCGUUGUGUGAGAGUUUUCUCUUGAAAAUUCUUGAUAUAUGGACAGAAAUAGUGAGGGCUGAAUUAGUGCUAUUUCAGUUCCUUCAGAGUGUUGCCGUUUUCAGGUUUUUGAUGAUAAACGUCAGGAUCUUUGUGGUGGGAGAUUCCCAGGAUCUGAAUACAGUCCCCAGGUCAACUAUGAGAUGAAAGUGAAGAAAAAGACUUUGGGAACAAAAAGAGCUGACAGCAAUGUUGCUAUGAUCCCAACCCUAGACAAGGUCUAUUCCUCUAUUGUUCUUUUCCUCCUGAAUUCCAAUUUAACUGAGGGAAUGUUUUUUGUUUUUUGUUUUACUAUUAUUAUUUUAAUUAAUUUUGUUUUAAAAAGCAGCAAGCAAAUUAAACAGAGCUAUCUUAGAGAAAAGAACAGGGUUACAAAAAUAGACUUCUACCAAACCACAGGGCAUAUUCUGAUAAACAGUAAAAGCAUCUCCAUUUGCCUGCUGCAUUGCUUGCUUGUUGAAAAUCCUCUCUUUUUAUGAAUUUCUUCAUAAGCUGAUCCCAGCUUAUUCCAGCCUCCCUCAACUUGGUGCCCUCCAGGUCUUGCUAGGGUUGAUAGGAGUAGUGGGCACCAUUUGGAGAAGGAUGCUUCAUCCAUUUUUCUAUUAGAAAAAUUAAUUGAUUAAAAAAAUCAAUUCAUGAACCAAUAGAUGCCCAGCAUUUUCCUCCCAAUACCUUGCCCAGACACUAUUCCAGAUAUCAAGACAUUCAUGACCAAGGGUUCCAAAGUGCUUGGUAAAUCUUUCCCAGAUACACCUAGCAGCAUUCUUGGUUACAAAAUACUGAAGUCUGGAAUCCCAGCCCCAUAUGUCUGCUUCUAACAGUACAUUUUCUUUAUAUGCAAGUAGAAUCAGGAAGUAUGGGGACCUAAAAUGCAGAUAUAGGAUUCAAAUGGAAGCUUCCUCCAUUUUAUUUGCAAACCGAUCACUCAGCGUUCAACCAGGCAACCAACUUCUUCAAAGAGAAGAGACAGAAAGGAACAGGAAACUGCCUUGAUAGUGUAUUUCCAAUUAGCAAAGCUGAGUGGAAAAGUCAGGGGAACCUUAAAUCAAAAAGUAUACAGAGAAUGGAAAAUAUUUAAGAAAUAUAUAAGACUAUAUUGUAAAAAUGAGACCAUCCUAUCAUAAUUGAAUGAUAUUUAUGUAUAAUAAAUAAAUAGAAUAAACAUCUUAGCGGUAUAUAUGAAAAAAGAAAUAAGCUGCGUGAUAAAAUCAAGACAAUAGAAAAGGCAUAAUGAGAAGGAUUGGAAGCUUUUCACAGAAGACUUUAUUGGAUAAGAUAUGAUGUUGUAUAAAUAUCUGGUAUUUUAAAUUGUUAUUUUUUUCUUCUUGUUACUUUUAAACUUUUUGUAUUUUUGGAUGUGCAGAAUUUUUCUCUUUUCUUUUUUCUUCUUUUCUUUUCUGUGCUUAACUUUGUAGUAUUUACCUUUAUUGUAAGAUUGUAUUUUAAACCAAUAAAGAUGUAUUUUUUUAAAAAAAGGAAACUGCCCUUGCUUCCUCUCUCUCCAAAGACCUAGUUGACCUUUGACCUAGUUGAGCCUUCUCUAGAAAAUAACAGCUCUGUGGUCCUUAACUCCUUCAUUUACCAACUCUCAUAGACCUGCAUUGUUCGGUUUGACUGCAAAAUCUCCCACGUUGAUAGUGUUUCAAAUACAGUGCAUUCAAACAUAGCAUUUUAUGCAUAUUAUAUCUUUAGCAGACCCACCCAAAACCUUUGAGCAUCUGUGAAUCCUGUUGUUGUUGUUUAGUCGUUUAGUCGUGUCCGACUCUUCGUGACCCCAUGGACCAGAGCACACCAGGCACUCCUGUCUUCCACUGCCUCCCGCAGUUUGGUCAAACUCAUGCUGGUAGCUUCGAGAACACUGUCCAACCAUCUCGUCCUCUGUCGUCCCCUUCUCCUUGUGCCCUCCAUCUUUCCCAACAUCAGGGUCUUUUCCAGGGAGUUUCUCUUCUUAUGAGGUGGUCAAAGUAUUGGAGCCUCAGCUUCAGGAUCUGUCCUUCCAGUGAGCACUCAGGGCUGAUUUCCUUCAGAAUGGAUAGGUUUGAUCUUCUUGCAGUCCAUGGAACUCUCAAGAGUCUCCUCCAGCAACAUAAUUCAAAAGCAUCAAUUAUUCAGCGAUCAGCCUUCUUUAUGGUCCAGCUCUCACUUCCAUACAUCACUACUGGGAAAACCAUAGCUUUGACAAAGACAAAGACAUCAGGUGAAUCCUGUUAGUCUCAUACAAAGCCCUCUUACAUGGAUAGGAAUCGCGGGAGCCUUGGAUUUCUUCAAAAGGAGAUUUGAAAAAUUCACACUUGUGAAUAAGUCUAUCAAUGGUUAUUAGCCCUGGCAGAUGGAUGUAACUGGGUUCACAGGCAUCAUUCCUUGAGAGAUGGGGAAGAAAACUCCAGGUGCUUAGAGAUGUUGUGACAACAUCCCUCAGUAAAGAUGGGAGUGAUGUGAUGUGACAGGGUUUUGAGAUGGUUUCAAAACUUCUGACUCUUCCUGUCAGAACACUUAAGAGGUCUGUUAUUAUCUCUCUGCGGUGAUGUUUCUUAAUAACCAGCAGCAAGGCAUUGCAAUUAUGUGGAAGAAGAGCCUGUGACCACAUGGAUGAGGCAUUUUGGGAACAAACCGAGAACAUUUAUUUAUACUUGAUGAGGUUCAUAGCUUAACAGGUACUCCAAUAAGGCAGAACACUUUGUUUUGUUUUAAAAAAAUAAUUUUUUAUUAAAGAUUUCUUAGUUUACAAAAAUACGUGCAUUGUCUCUUCUUUCAAGUUGUGUUUCCUACAGAUCAGUUUCAUUUGUUGUGAGACAUUAGUUUUGCAUACAGUGUGUUAGGUUAGGAAGAAAAGAGGAAGGGGAAAUGGUGAGUGGUACCUCAGGUUAAGUACUUAAUUCGUUCUUGAGGUCUGUUCUUAACCUGAAACUGUUCUUAACCUGAGCACCACUUUAGCUAAUGGGGCCUCCUGCUGCCGCUGCGCCGCCGCCACACAAUUUCUGUUCUCAUCCUAAAGCAAAGUUCUUAACCCGAGGUAAAAUUUCUGGGUUAGCGGAGUCUGUAACCUGAAGCGUAUGUAACCUGAAGCAUAUGUAACCUGAGGUACCACUGUAUUCUACUUAUUGUAUGUGUGGGGUUUUGUGUCAGUGUUACUUGUGUGGGUUCUCUUACUAUUCGCUUGUUGUAUUUCCUUGGUUGUGAGAGAGGCUGGGGUGGGCCUAGGGUGUGGCUGCUUGUCUUUGGUUGGUUGUAGUGAGAUUUGUUUUUGUGUGUGAGUGGGGUGUGUGUGUUUGUUUCAGUCAGGUUAGCCAGAUUGAUUCGUAUGCUGUUGGUGGAUUAUUCUUGUUGUCGUGUUGGGCUGUGUACAGUGUACCUUGGGUUACAGACUCUUCAGGUUACAGAUGCUUCGGGUUACAAACUCCGCUAACCAGGAAGUAGUUGUUCCAGGUUGAGAACUUUGCUCCAGGAUGAGAAUGGAAAUCAUGCGCUGGUGUCGCGGCAGCAGUGGGAGGCCCCGUUAGCAAAAGCACGCCUCAGGUUAAGAAUGGUUUCAGGUUAAGAAGGGACCUCCGGAACGAAUUAAAUUCUUAACCCGAGGUACCACUGUAUGUGAUAAAGGGGAACUAUACUGGGGUGAAGGCGUCUUCUUCUAUUUGUCCCCAUGUCAGUUUCAGUUUAUUAGUUAGUUUUUCUAAUAGGGCUGUUUCUCAUACUAUUUGAUACCAUUGGUCCAUGCCAGGCUUCCUCAACCUCGGCCCUCCAGAUGUUUUUGGCCUACAACUCCCAUGAUCCCUAGCUACCAGGACCAGUGGUCAGGGAUGAUGGGAACUGUAAUCUCAAAACAUCUGGAGGGCUGAGGUUGAGGAAGCCUGGUCCAUGCUUACUCCUGACAGGUCUCUCCAAUGUCUGGCUGUGAUUCUUUUAGAUAAUAAUCCCCACUCACAUCAAAAAGAGCUCAUAACCCACCUACUCAUGGCAGAACACUUUGUUAUGAACACACACUCUUCACAAAAAUAAGCCAAAAACUUUAUUGAAAUUCUCAUUUUAAACCUGUCUUUAAAUAGACUGAUUCCUUCUAGAAUGGCUAUUGGUCCUACACUUUCAGCGCCUUCUAGAAUUUUUACUUUCCCCUAAGAAAAACAAUCUGGGUUACCCUGCCUAGCUAGACCAUAAUUCAGCUCUAACCAGGCUCUAAAUGGAUCUCUAACUAGGCACUGUCCAUGCCCUAACUAACACUGACAGACAAGCCCUAUCUGACAGUUAGACUGUCUAAUUCUAACAUUCAACUCUCCACUCUCUCUCCUGAUUGGAAGACACUCCGCCCAGCUCUGAUUGGUUUCUGGGUCACCUGGAGGCUAACCCAUGAUUUGUCCAUCACAGAUGCACUUUAUUGUAGGCCCAAUGCAUUUUUCGAAAAAACCUUCUUUUCAAGGGAAUGUGUUUAGAAACAACCCGCACUUUCAAGGUAUAAUGCAGUAAUUCUUGUUCAUCUGGGGGUCAAAUCAAAUGAGAUGUUAAAUGCAUUUUAAAAAAAAAAACUUUUUAAAAACCCAUAAAUUGCAGCCACUAUUGGGAGGAAAACUCAUAUUAUUCCUAGUUCAAUUAGGAACUACAGAGGAGCAAUUUUCAUCUGGGGGAGGAAAAGGUUAAACCCUCCCUCCCUGUCUGCUGUGAUCUCCCUCUAGACACAAAGUGGCUGCUGUUUGCACUUCUAAAAAACACAUGCACAAGGAUCACAGGGGAUAAUUCACUCAACACAUUUCUUUCAGAUCACUGUAAUUGCCCUUGUUCAUCAGUUUUAUAUUACAUUUACACCCCAUCUUUUCUGCAAGGAGCCCAGUUCGUUUCUGAGCACAAUUCAAAGUGUUGGUGCUGACCUUUAAAGCCCUAAGCUGCCUCGGUCCAGUAUACCUGAAGGAGCUUCUCCACCCCCAUCGUUCAGCCCGGACACUGAGAUCCAGUGCCAAGGGUCUUCUGGCAGUUCCCUCGCUGCAAGAAGUGAGGUUACAGGGAACCAGGCAGAGGGCCUUCUUGGUAGUGGCUCCUGCCCUGUGGAAUGCCCUCCCAGCAGUUGUCAAGGCAAUAAACAACUAUUAUACUUUUAAAAGACAACUGAAGGCGGCCCUGUUUAGGGAAGCUUUUAAUGUCUGUUGCUGUAUUGUUUUUAAUAUUCGGUUGGAAGCCACCCAGAGUGGCUGGGGAAACCCAGCCAGAUGGGCAGGGUAUAAAUAAUAAAUGAUUAAAUAUUCUUAUUAUGGUGGCAUACACACUUCUCCUCUCUAUUUUAUCCUCACAGGAAUCCUGAAGGUUUGGCUGAGAAAUAGUGACUGGCCCAAGGUAACCUGGUAGGCUUCAAGACUGUCGGACUUGCUUUCGACCAAGCUACUUCUCCGGUCGAGUCCUCCGACGGUGAUUAACGACCUGAGCCUUUGAUGAGGCUCCAGGCACGUUCCCUCAUUACACAGAGUAUACAGCAGCAGCUGAAGACGAAAAACGUAUGAGCUACAUUGCUACAUUUUAUUUCUAACUAUGCAGGACAGAAAAGAAAAUACAUCUGCUCUCUGUGAAAGCAGAGAACCAACUGGAACAAAGAAAACAGGAAACCAGUAAUAUCAACAUCCAUCUCCCAUGAGACUUCCAACAGUCUGGAAUGUAAACAGAGUCUUGUGACUCCAAGCACUGCACAGUGGCAAUAAACAGAAACCUAACAAAGACCAACCCUGGUCUCCCGAUUCCUAGCCCAGUACAGUGGUACCUCGGGUUAUGAACUUAAUUCGUUCCGGAAGUCUGUUCUUAACCCGAAGCAUUCUUAAACCGAGGCAUGCAUUCCUUACAUAGGCCUCCCGCGGCCCUGGAAGCGGAUUGUGUUCGUAUCCUGGGGCAAAGUUCGCAACCCAGGACACCUACUUCCAGGUUUGUGGAGUUCAUAAACCGAAGCGUUCGUAAGCAGGACUGUUCGCAACCCGAGGUACCACUGUACUCUAACAGCUUUAGCACACUGGAGAAUCCCAUUCUUGGCUCACUGCACUCCCUGGGCUUACCAACUUUGCUAUUGCCUAUAUGCCAUAAACUUUGAAAAGAGUUUCUGGAUUUUCUCACAUGCUGUAAUUUGUUCCCCCGCCAUAAAAGUUGAAAGAAUUUGAUGUCUUUUUAUCUUCAUCUUUUAUUGAUAUUGAUUUCUUCCUAAAUUUACUUAUUUUGAAACCUAGGCUGGGCUAAGCUGGACCGACAUUCUGGUCAACCCUGCUUAAAUUGUUUAUCAUUUAUACUUUGCUGGAUCCCACUUUCAAUUAAAGUACGCUGCAUUAACAUUCAGAUGCUACUUUGCUUGGCGGAUCCCAGAAGCCUUGUCCUGAGGGGUUGUGUCCAUCAUAAAGAAAUAUAUUCCUGCCACUCACUAGUCAAAACUGUGAGCGUUUUAUUCUUCUUUCAAUUAAUCAAACAGUUCCAGCUGGGAAACUGGGAGCAAAAUCUUUAAAGCAGAUCUGGUUUAUUGGAGCAGAUUGUGUUCCGAGCUGUUGUUCAAUGAAAGCAGCCAGAUUUCCCUUUUAUGCAGAUUUUUUUGGUGAGUGUUGAAAAAUAAAAUAAGAUGCUAGUUCGGUGCCUACUCACAUUUAUCUUCUACCACAAACAUUUUUCAUUCUGAACCCUAACGACAAAAUGUUAUAUAGCAAAGAACCGUCUUACCCAUAGUUUGAAUAAUGGCCCCUUGGCUUAUUAAUAAAAGAUAAUGAGGUAGAUAUUUCUAAUAGGAUAGCUUUUUUUAAGAACAAUUUAAGCAAACAGGAGCUUUUCAUCUUGCAGCUAAUGUUCAUUCAGACUUUCAAGUCUUUUGAGUCAUGGGAUAUCUCCACAUAGCUGCUAUUGUCCAGGUGGGAUCCAGUCACAUACUUUCAAAUUCAGGUUGCAUUUUGAUGGGAGAUAUCCUGCUUCCUGUGGUCACAGUAGCCAGCCAGAUGCCAACCAGGCAAGCAGGAUUUGAGCACAAAGAACACUCAUCCAGAGAGCUAGUGUGGUGUAGUGGUUAAGACCGGUAGACUCGUAAUCUGGUGAAUCGGGUUCACUUCCCCACUCCUCCACAUACAACUGCUGGGUGACCUUGGGCUAGUCACACUUCUUUGAAGUCUCUCAGCCCCACUCACCUCACAGAGUGUUUGUUGUGGGGGAGGAAGGGAAAGGAGAAUGUUAGCCUCUUUGAGACUCUUUCGAGUAGUGAUAAAGCGGGAUAUCAAAUCCAAACUCUUCUUCUUCAUCAUCAUCAUCCCGGCUGCAGCUUCCAGCAACUGGCAUUCAGAAUUGUUCGUUUGUUUGUUUGUUCGUUUCUUCCUUCCUUCCUUCCUUCCUUCCUUAUACCCCACCCAUCUGGCCAGGCUUCCCCAGCCACUCUGGGCAGCUCCCAACAUUGAUAAAACAUCAAACAUUAAAAACUUCCCUCAACAGGGCUGCCUCCAGCUGUCUUCUAAAAGUCAGAUUGUUGUUUAUCUCCUUGACAUCUGAUGGGAGGGCGUUCCACAGGGUGGGCCCUGUUAGCAUAGUUCCGUUCCACCUUAAAAAGGGAACAGGCUGUUGUGUAUCACAUGCCUGUUCACUUCCAGCUUCCCUCUAGGAACUUCUGUUUUGUAUAUAGCUUUUGUUCUGUCUGUUUUCCUGGACACGGAGGCAAGCAGUCAUAUUUUUCCUUUGUUCUGAUCUACAUUGAAUAGAGCUGUAAAUAUGCUCUCCUGUCUGCAACUUUCGUUGUGGAGACUGCACGAUUCUUGGAAUGUCGCUGAGGCUCUUGUCGCUAAUUGACUGAUGCUGUUCCACGGGAAACCGGUGAUCGUCCGGAGACGACUGGUGGCCUGCCUGAUGCCUCCGUCUCCCUGGCAGUAUCCCAACAGGCCCCACUACCGAGAAGGCCCUCUGCCUGGUUCCCUGUAACCUCACUUCUCGCAAUGAGGGAACCUCCAGAAUACCCGUGGAGUUGGACCUCAGUGUCCAGGCAGAAUGAUGGGGGUGGAGACGCUCCUUCAGGUAUACUGCCUGAGGGUAUAGCUCAGUGGUAGAGCAUUUGACUGCAAAAGCAUUACUGCCUCCAACCGUGGAGACAGAGCAUAGCCAUCAUAAUUGUAGCCAUUGACAAAUGGAACUAUGUGUCUGCAUCUCAGGAGCAGCUUCGGAGGAAGUUGGGGGCUCGCAGCACGAUUAGACAUGGGCACGGCACUUGCUACGUGGCUCAGCUUGGGGCUUUUGCUCCUGGCGCUGCUUUUACCCUCUCAGACGAGUGGCGGUAGUGGAAGAACUCUAUCGGCUGCAAACAACCAUUCAAGUCCAACGUCCGCACCACUUAGCACACUGAACAAUACCACCACCAAGGGACAUGGAAGCUCUCUUCAAUCAACUACUGGCCUCUUCAUUUUCACAAUCUCUCUUAAGAAAUCCUGGUUGGGAAAUUUCCACCAUUCCCUACCCAGUGCCCUGAACCAUCUGAGAUGGCUAGACCUUCCUAUCCCAGCAUGAAAAAGAACCACAGAAUACCUGCAUCAAGUCAGUGCAGUUUGCGCUAUAGUUCAGUUACUGGUACCAACUGGACUGAGAGUCUUAUAAGACCACCUGAUGAUCCAAUGCCAUUUCCCCUGAAAAUCAACCCUAUGACCAUUCAAGAUUUGGAAGGCUGUGGGGUGGGCACCAGUCUUCAACAGCUGGAAUUGGAAAUAUAAGACAAAGAAGUACAACUUGACUGGCCAUGGAUAAUGACUACCAUGAAACACAUAGGAGAGAGAUCAUGAAGUAAUGCAAAAUAAGGACUCUUUAAUUUGAAUGAAAAUGAAGCUUCGAAAACCACCAGAAAAUACAAAUGGCGCUGGUUCAGUUAACUCAGUUUCGUAUACAGUGGUACUUCGGGUUACAGAUGCUUCAGGUUAGAGAUGCUUCAGGUUACAGACUCUGCUAACCCAGAAAUAGUUCCUCGGGUUAAGAACUUUGCUUCAGGAUAAGAACAGAAAUUGUGUGGCGGCAGCGCAGCAGCAGCGGGAGGCCCCAUUAGCUAAAGUGGUGCUUCAGGUUAAGAACAGUUUCAGGUUAAGAACAGACCUCCGGAACGAAUUAAGUACGUAACCAGAGGUACUACUGUGUAAGGAUGUAUCCAGCAGAACAGAGAAGUAGCCACUGAUAGGCUUCUUCUCCAUGAAUUUCUCCAAUUGGCUUUUAAAGCCAUCCAGGGUUGGUGGCCAACGCUGCCUUAACUGUGUGAAGAACUACUUUCUUUUAUCUGUCCCGAAUCUUCCAGCAUUAGAGGACCACGAGUUCUAGUGUGAGAACACUCACUUUGACGCAACACCAUCUAACCAUACAGUUUGCUAAAUAGCCAACGCCAUCUAAUUACCCACAAACAGAUCGGGAUGAAUGCUCAAUAAUCAGGUCAUCUGGAAAUGCUCUUGGGAUACAUACAACCUACAGGUUGUGUCCCUUGCUUCGGCUAAUUAGUCAGAACAUCAUAGGGUGGAAUAGGCCAACUGGUUUUAUGCGCAGAUGUUCCCCACCCCCAAUUAAUGCAGCUGUCUCGUUCUGCAGAUGCUUUUGAAGACAUCACCUGUAGUGUCUGCAAAAGACCAAGAGAGCAUUUUGCAGGGCGGCCAGGUAUGAAUCCCAAGGUGGAAAAAGACAGGCGAUCAAGUAGAUAUGCGUUUUGAAGAAACCCUUUAUUGAGGAGAAAUGUUAGUGUUUCUUAAUAAAAAGUGCUCAGGAAAGGUUUUCUGCCACCAUUCAUCUCUCGUUGACAUGCUUCUGCGCAACCUCAAAUGCUAUUUUUUGUAGCAUGUCCACCUUGUCUUCAUAAGUCACACUAACAAUACCUCCUCUUCUAGACUGUGUCACUUGUGAAUGCUGCUGCAAAAUGGGGGUGGCAACAUUAUCAGAUUGACUGUACAUCAAUGUAGCUUUGUCAUUCAGUAGUAAGAGAUGCAAAACAUAACUGAAGCACCCUCUGUGAAAAUGACCUUGGGGUAAGCAAUCUGCAUCUGGCAAGAUUGGCAGCCUGGUGGAAGGGCGGGGGGAAGGAUUGUGAUAAGAUAAACAUAUUAGAUAAGGAAGGAUUAAGUAGAGCCCAGUUGCCCUUCAAGGUCACCUUGGCAUUGCCCAAGAUCCGUUAAUGGUCCAAUCCACAAAUCUGAAUAAGGACUGAGCACUGUACCUCAUCACAUUCAACUCGUCCUUUGCGCCACGCCAUGUGCUUGUUGAUGACAUUUGUAUCCUCUCCUGCUACCUCUGGUGCACUUAAGUCUUAAAAAAAAUACGAAGUGGGGACCCUUGAAAAAAACACAGGCGGGUGAAGCCUGUGACCGUGGGACUCGGCGGGCACCUUUUGCGCCCCCCCAAUCUGCAAAGGAGCCCAAUUACGGGCUCCGGAGUGAAGCGGGGAUGCAGCACGGUACUGAGAGUCAACUGCUUCUUCCGUGGAGCGAAGCCGCACAGCCGUUACCGGAGAGCGCUACCUUUUUCCUGUGACAAUUUGGCUACAAAAACAACUACCCGUGAGUAGGUUAAUUUCGGAAAUAAAGGAGAACAAAGACGUAAUUUGAUACCAAAGCGGGGAGGCAUAAACAGGAAGUCUGCCUUCCAUUCUUUGUAAAUAGAGUAAAGCAAUGAACGUGUAAGCUAAAACCUUGAAAGACGUUCGAAAAGGACUACAAUUCUAACAUCAAAACAAGUGAUUUCCCCCUUGGCUGCAGGAGAGGAGGGGGGAAAGGUGUGAACUGUAUUUUCCUGCAAAAAGAGAGGAAAGGAAGCUAAAAUCCACCGCUUAAAACCUGGGAACGGGAUGCCAAUGAACAAUAAGAAUGCCGUACUGUGAAAUGCGCUGUUGGUGAAUAGAGUACUUUUUGACAGCUAACUCUGCAAGUGAGAUAAAGCUUUCACUGCUAGGCCGUAUUGCUGCGAUAAAAAUGAAUGUAUUGCCUAGAAUGUUAUUUUUGUUUCAAACAUUGCAAAUUUUGGAUAAAAUGGAUUGCUUCAAGAAGUGGCAGAGAGAUAUUUCUAGAUUUGUCUGGCAGGGCAAGAAGCCUAGAAUAAAAUUUAAAAUACUAACGGAUGCAAAGGAAAGAGGCGGAUUUGCCCUGCCAGACCUUAAACUUUAUUAUGAAUCAGCAGCUUUUUGCUGGCUGAAAGAAUAGCUGCUUCUUGAAAACACAGACAUUUUGGAUUUAGAAGGCUUUAAUAAUGUAUUUGGAUGGCAUGCAUAUUUAUGGUAUGAUAAGGUCAAAGCACAUAAAGCAUUUAAAAAUCAUAUUGUCAGGAAAGCAUUGUUUAAUGUCUGGAUAAGAUACAAGGACCUACUUGAAAAUAAAACCCCAAGGUGGUUGUCACCAAUGGAAGCGAAGGCUCAGAAAAAGCUCAAUAUGGAGGCCAAAUGGCCGAAAUAUUGGGAAAUUUUGGAACAAGAGGGAGACAGAUUGAAAUUGCAGAGUUUUGAAAAACUAAAAAAUAAAGUGCGAGAUUGGCUUCAUUACUAUCAGAUAAUGGAGGCAUAUAAUUUGGACAAGAAAAUUGGCUUCCAGGUGGAAAAAUCAAAAUUAGAAACAGAACUGUUAGAACCCAAAACCAAGAUUUUGUCAAAGAUGUAUAACUUGCUGUUGAAAUGGAAUACUCAGGAUGAAACGGUGAAAUCUGCUAUGAUUAAAUGGGCACAAGAUGUUGGACAUAACAUAAUGAUGGCUGACUGGGAACAGUUAUGGACCACAGGUAUGAAGUUUACGGCAUGUAAUGCCUUAAGAGAGAAUAUUAUGAAAAUGAUAUACAGGUGGUACAUGACCCCAGUCAAGCUUGCAAAAAUCUAUCAUUUGCCCGAUAAUAAAUGUUGGAAAUGUAAAGAAACUGAAGGCACAUUCUUUCACCUUUGGUGGACAUGCCCAAGGAUUAAGGCUUUCUGGAGAUGAUUUAUAAUGAAAUGAAAAAGGUAUUUAAAUAUACCUUUCUGAAGAAACCAGAGGCCUUUCUCCUGGGCAUGGUUGGCCAAUUGGUGUCAAAGAAGGAUAGAACUUUCUUUAUGUAUGCUACAACAGCAGCAAGAAUACUUAUUGCAAAGUAUUGGAAGACACAAGAUCUACCCACCCUGGAAGAAUGGCAGAUGAAGGUGAUGGACUAUAUGGAACUGGAGGAAAUGACUGGCAGAAUCCGAGACCAGGGAGAAGAGUUGGUGGAAGAAGAUUGGAAGAAAUUUAAAGACUAUUUACAGAAAUACUGUAAAAUUAAUGAAUGUUAGAAUGAUGUCAGAAUGAAGUUAAGUGGUUUUAGCAGCAAUGUUACAAAGGAGUAUGUAAAAAUGGAUUGUUAACAGGUGAGAAUUCAAAGUUACAAUAUAUUAAGUUAAAGGAUUAGGAUAAAAACAAAGAGGGAAAGGAUUUGCUGAAUUAGCUAACUGAAUUGGAAUACAAAAAAGGGAGGUGUGAGGAGGUCAGGGAAACAAGUAAAUGAAAGAAGUGUUUUUACUUUUCUGUAUUUUGUAUUUUUUCUUUUCUUUUCUUUUUCUCUUUUUUCUAUUUUUAUAACUUUUUUUAAAACUUUAAUAAAUAUCAUUAAAAAAAAAGUCUUAAAAAAAUAUAUAUCACCAGGCUUUUAGACAUUUUCAUGCUACAGUGUAUGUAGGCGGCAACAUUGUCAUCAGACACAUUUGCAUUGGUAAAUUAGCCCAAAGGUAAGCCUCUGCACUAGGGAUGCGGGUAGCGCUGUGGGUUAAACCACAGAGCCUAGGACUUGCCGAUCAGAAGGUUGGUGAUUCGAAUCCCUGCAACGGGGUGAGCUCCCGUUGUUUGGUCCCAGCUCCUGCCAACCUAGCAGUUCGAAAGCAUGUCAAAGUGCAAGUAGAUAAAUAGGUACUGCUCUGGCGGGAAGGUAAACGGCGUUUCCGUGUACUGCUCUGGUUCGCCAGAAGCAGCUUAGUCAUGCUGGCCACAUGAUCCAAAAGCUGUACGUUGGCUCCCUCGGCCAAUAAAGUGAGAUGAGCACUGCAACCCCAGAGUUGGUCACGACUGGACCUAACGGUCAGGGGUCCCUUUACCUUUACCUUAAGCCUCUGCACUAGGUUGUUGUUUUUUUAAAAGGUUACUGACACUUGGAUGGUUAAGUCCAAUCAAAGUCGACUAUGGGGUGCGGCGCUCAUCUUGCUUUCAGGUCGAGGGAGCCAGCGUUUGUCCAUAGACAGCUUUUCCAGGUCAUGUGGCCAGCAUGACUAAACCUCUCCUGGCGCAACGGAACACCGUGACAGAAAUCAGAGCGCAUGGAAAUGCCGUUUACCUGCCCGCCACAGCGGUACCUAUUAAUCUAUUUGCACUGGCGUGCUUUGAAACUGCUAGGUUGGCAGGAGCUGGGACAGAGCUUACCCCGUUGCACAGAUUUGAACUGAUGACCUUCUGAUCAGCAAGCCCAAGAGGCUCAGUGGUUUAGACCACAGCGCCACCCACUCCCAGCCUCUGCACUAAAGGAACCAUGGCCCAAUAUGCCUGCAAUGACUCUCCUCUUUGUUUCACAUGUAACACAUGUUUAUUUCAUGUGUUAUCCCUCUGCCAUCCUGGACAAACAAUACAACAAUGUACCGUACAGACUCUGCAUAUGUGGGCAGAAGACAUAUUGCACUAUUUACUAUAUUGCCCACUAUACACUGGACCCAGGAGGUGAUUUCUCACCUUACCAUUCAUACAGGAAAGAUGUCCUUUCCCAGCAGAGAAGAUCCUGUGGCUUCUUAGCUAUGUAAAUUUUUCAGUGACUCACAAAGUUGCCCUUUUUGCUCCAGUGGUCAAAAAGAUCAGAAAUAAGACCCUGGACAAUAUAGGGUUGAACUGUAAGGGAGAUGAAGAUCUAAAUGGAUACUUUUAUUUGUGACAUGGCAUCCCUUUACAUGUCUUUAUUUUUGAUUCAGAUUUGUCAUGGCCAAUGGCUAGUACAAUAAAGUUACUGUAUUUUUCGCUCUAUAGGACGCACCUUGUUUUAGAGGGGGAAAACAAGAACAAAAAUUCUCCCCCUCUCUGCUCAGCACCCCUUCAGCGAAGCGGCAGGAGAAAUGGAGCCCCUUCCAUUUCUCCUCCUGCUUGGCUGAAGGGGCGCUGCGCAGCUCUCCCUCUCUGCUGAAGUCAGGAGAGUCUUACUCUCCCAGCUUCAGCAAAAGGAACCUGAAGCCUGUGGAGCGCAGCGGGAACUCGCACUGGUGCGCACCGACCCCUCUCACUCUCCAGGCUUCAGUGAAAGCAACGCAAAGCCAAGGAGCCUGCAUUCGCUCCAUAGGACGGACACACAUUUCCCCUUAAUUUUGGGAGGAGAAAAAGUGUGUCCUAUAGAGCGAAAAAUACGGUAUUUGGAUUGAAGUUAUUAUGGUUAUUUCCUGUGUUAUCUAGGCAUGUUUGGUGGGAAUGUUUGGGAGUGAGGGUUGUAUGUGGACGUUUGCUGAGGAUGACCUUGGGAAAUGUUACUGAGGCAAAUGUGGCUGCCUUUGUUUAUUUGCUAAUUAUGUUUUAUAUGAGGAAUGUUUAUUGUGCUUUUGCAUUUGAUUUGAAUUUGUAAUGUUGCGAGGGGUAUGUUUGAGAUAAAAUUUUGUUUUGCUAUAAUUUAUCCAGCUUUACAACUGGAUCUUUAUUGCAUUUUGCAUUUAUAUUUAUGUUGUAUUUUGAUAUUCUGUAAUGUACUAUUUGAUGUUUUGAGAUUAUUAUAUUUAAUAUAAAGCAGGAUAGAAAUAUUUUCAAUCAAUCAAUCACUGGUGUAAACAUUAUCUCAGAGGAAACUCUAGCAGUUUAUUCCAAACAGAGUGUACACCACUCUGAAGACCCUGUGCUCUGAAGGAGUGAUUGUCCUUCUAGGUGGUGGACAUGUCCAGAGAUCAGAAAGUUCUGGGACAUGAUCCAUGAAGAAAUAAAAAAGUUACUAAGAACUUCACAUAGCAAAAGACUAGAAACAUACCUUUUGGGAAUACAGUGAUACCUCGGGUUACAUACGCUUCAGGUUACAGACUCCGCUAACCCAGAAAUAGUACCUGGGGUUAAGAACUUUGCUUCAGGGUGAGAACAGGAAUCGUGCUCUGGUGGAGCAGCGGCAGCAGGAGGCCCCAUUAGCUAAAGUGGUGCUUCAGGUUAAGAACAGUUUCAGGUUAAGAACAGACCUCCAGAACGAAUUAAGUUCUUAACCUGAGGUACCACUGUACUUGUUUUACAGUGGCAACAGCUGCAACUCUUUUUAUAGUGAUGUUUAUUAUUUAGAAAGACAAGGUUCUAAUGUGAAAGUGAUGGAAGUCUAUUAAUAUUAUUUUGUAAAAUAGUGUUUAUUGUAUUGAAAUAUUAUAUUUUCUUUAUUCUUUUCUUGUCUACUUUUCUUUGCAUUAUUUUUCUUUACCCCCCGCCCCUUUAUAUUAUUCUUUAUGUCUGGUUUGGUAUUGAUGUAUUUACUUUGCAAUUUUUUUUAAAAAAAAGCUGUGUCUGCCUGGAUGCUAGAAGCAGUUUUCAAAUGUAGUUUUGAAUUUAAAAAGUGGGCUGCAGCUACAGUUGUUAGACAUCAAGUGCCUGCAUACAGUGGUAUCGAAAUGACCCCCUUCUCUCAUCAGUACAAAAUGCCCCCCUUCAAAAAACUGUAAUGGCACAAGGCGCUUAUAUGUAUCACGCUACAGUGGUACCUCGGGUUAAGUACUUAAUUCGUUCCGGAGGUCCGAACUUAACCUGAAACUGUUCUUAACCUGAAGCGCCAUUUUAGCUAAUGGGGCCUCCUGUUGCUGCCGCGCCACCGGAGCACGAUUUCUGUUCUCAAUCUGAAGCAAAGUUCUUAACCUGAAGCACUAUUCCUGGAUUAGCGGAGUAUGUAACCUGAAGCAUAUGUAACCUGAAGCGUAUGUAACCUGAAGCGUAUGUAACCUGAAGGGGAUGUCACCUGAGGUACCACUGUAUUUGUUCAGCUAGCCUUGUAUUGUUUUUGCUGGUUAUCCAAGUUCUUAGGCAGAAGUCCACCUAAUCCUUUUUAGCUGGAGGUGCUAGGGACUGAAUCUGCAUUCAGAUCAGGAGUUCUAGACUCUAGACAGUGGGUGACAUUUAUGAUAUCCUUCCUUACAUAUUGCAGACUUACACACAAUGAAAAGGCAUGGCUAAUCAUAGAAUUGUUUGAGCCCAGAAUCGUCCAGUCCAAUCCCUUGCCAUGCAGGAUUGCCCAAUGUGGGGCUUGAAGCCACGGCCCUGAGAUUAAGAGUCUCAUGUUUUACCAGCUGAGCUAUCACUCUUGAAGACUUUUUCUCUGAUGUGCUAUUUUUGUUGUUGCAGGUUAUAUAUGCUAGUUUUCUUCUUGCAGUUUGCACUUUUGUGUGACUAUAAAAAAUUAUAGGGAAGCACAGAGGAAUUUCCUCAAGAAUGGAUAGGUUUGAUCUUAGGUUUGACCUUAUGGUGCUGGAGGAGACUCUUGAGAGUCCCAUGGACUGCAAGAAGAUCAAACCUCUCCAUUCUGAAGGAAAUCAGCCCUGAGUGCUCACUGGAAGGACAGGUCCUGAAGCUGAGGCUCCAAUACUUUGGCCACCUCAUGAGAAGAGAAGACUCCCUGGAAAAGACCCUGAUGUUGGGAAAGAUGGAGGGCACAAGGAGAAGGGGACAACAGAGGA